GGGGUCAUUUGGUAAUUUUGGAGGAGAGGGAACACAAAACAGAAACCCUAAUAGCCUAAUUUUUUCUCCCCUCACCAAAACCAAGUCGCCGGCCACCCCCCACUUUCUUCUUCCUUACCCGGCCAAACAGCCCCCACCUUUUGAUUUUUUUUCUCCUUCACCCGGAGCCAAACGGCUGCGACCCCCUUCCCAUUCUCCUAAAACACAGCAGCCUUCCCCUUACUAAAAAAAAAAGGGAGCCGCUCACUUCUUCCUUCUCUUAGCCCCCGCAGACCAGCGGCGAGACCAUCCUCCUUCACCACCGACAGACCCAGACCGAUCCUUGCAUCUCCAUCAACCCGAAGCUUUCCCCCUCAGCAGUGUCAUCUUCGCCUUCGAUCUCUUCAGCCCGUCAGCAGCAGCGUCCCCUACGGACCCAGAUCGGUCCGCCGCUCCUUCAUCCUCUGCUCUGCAAUCAGCCUCCAGCGGCGGCCGAGCAGCCAGCAACCUCUUCGUCUCCUUCCUCCAACGGCGCCAACAGAUCUUCCCUCUGCAACCGGUGACAGAUCCACGGUCCCCUCUCCCUCACAGAAACCAGCCGACGAUCAGCCAACACCUUUUCCUCCUCCAGCUCCGCCGGCCAGACACGACAGGAGCACAAUCGCCAACAGCUUUCCGGUCAUCAGCAGCCGUUUGAUACAGAGAACACAGGGGGAAAUGAAAAGAAACCGAGCAGAAAAAUUUUAAAACAGAUCUAAAACAAAAACUAAAACCGACUGUGUUGUGCCUUUUCUGUUAUUGCAGGUAACGACGGUCCUCACCGCCGGCGCAGGGAGACGGAGGGGAAGAAGACAUUCCGGAUCCCCUGGUUUUUUUGAGUUUCCAGCGGCGGCUCGUGAGCCCACGCGCCGCCAGUGACGGUGGCGCGUUGGGCGACGCGCCGCCAUUGUUCGGCCAUUCCAGAAGGACUCCCCUGCAAUUCCUGGAGUUUUUAGGGGCUGUUUUGUAAUUUUAAAAUUAAUUAAUGUAAUUUUUAUUUAUUUCUUUUGAUUUUGAAUUUGUAUUUGUAUUUGUAUUAUGUAAAUGUGGAUGUAAAAGAAAAAGAAAAGAAAAGAGAAAGUGAUAAAUAAAUAAAAAAAGGGAAAUGUUUGUGUGUGCUUGUAAUUUUUUGUAUGUUAUUGAAUAAAAAAAAAUGAAUUUAAUUUAU
rnacentral:lncRNA from 1 species